CCGCACACGCGCACCCCGCUCCUCCUCUCCUUUGCGCGGCUGCCGCCCGUCAUCCUCCCCCGCAUCACGCGCGCACGCGCCCCACUCCAUCCUCGCCGCCCGUCCUCCUCCUCUCCUCUGCGUCGUCGCCGUUGUCCAUCGCCACCGCGCCCUCCUCCUCCUUCCACCUCCUAGCCCGCGCCCAAUCUCCGCAGCCCUUCUUCCCUCCCUGCGCCCGAAACCCUAGCCCCCGACCAUGGUGCCCGAAUCUGCAGGAGGUGUAGCAGAGAGGUCCCAGUGACCACGGCGGCGCAUUCGCAGCCGGUCCACCUCGGGCUGCUUCUCCACCACCACGCACCUGCCCCGCGUGUGCUCCUUCUUUCCCGGGAGUGGGCCGCAGCCAUGGAGAGUGGCCAGAGGAUCAAGGACGGCCAACCCCUGCCUCCUCUCCAGCACGCUCGUCUCUGCCAUCUCUGCCAAAAAAGGAGACGGGAGCAAGAUGAGAAGACGAAGGAGAAGCCCUGCCAUCUCUGCCCCGUCCACUGCGUUGAGCGCGGCGACCGUCUGGGCUCUGCUUAUGCACCACAAACUAUUCACCUCCACGCCCCUUCCAAUCUCCCCAUCCCUUUCUUGCAUGUCCUUUUUGUGUAUGCCUACAAGUUGUUCGAUAAAAAUCCAAGCAGGUUGUAGGAGAAGGUAUGCUUAGUAACGUCAAAGAGAUGCCGCCCAUUACAAAUUAUUAUGAUAUUCAUCAUUACACAUUAGCACCACCAUGGAUAGCCAAGAUCCUUCCCAGCCAUGAUAAUCAGAGUGAACUUUGUUGUCAUUUUCAUCUAUCCAUCCAGAGGAAGUAGAUGAUUGAUAGAGAUUCGGAGAAAGCAAUUAAUAAAUGAAGAUCUCGAGGCUCCUAUUUCUUCAGAUUCAUUGCUAGCCCCACAAAGGAAGAGGAUGCCAGGACGAGGACUAUAAUCAAUCCCCGCCUUACUGUCCCAAUGACAGUGUCAAUGACUCCGAGCCUAGCGUUGUCGUCUUAUUUUCAUGACGGUGUGGUGUCUCGACGCGUGAUGGAUUCACUCACACGGAGGAAGCUUUUCUCCACUACUCCGGCGACAAGCGCACAAGCUUUUGGGUCCAUGGCGCCACCGGUAAACAAGAAAGGAAAUCUUAAAGAUGUCUUUAUCUCCCUCCCAAUGUCGAGGACUAUGGGAAGAUCGUUGGAAGCUGCUGCGUGCACUAGGGUCUGAUUAUAUGUGAGAAAGAAUGAUCUGGCCACUUGUAAUGGUGGUGGUAAUUCGAGCAGCAACCUAAAGAGAUCCAUAACAGGUGUCAUUUUGGAUCUCUUAGUAUCGCGGCGAAAAUGGCGGUGGCGGAGGUGGCUGAUGUGGCGGCGCGGGCGGCCACAGAAGAGGAAGUCAUUCGUGCCCGCCUUGUGAAGAAACGACAGUGAAGGAACACGCUUGCCCUCGCCCGAGAGUAGAAUCGGGCGGUCCGUGCCAUAGCCGGACUGCCACCAAAGGUAUUCACAAAAAAAGGACUGCCACCAAAGGAGGAGAAGGUGUACAGUGACAGAGAGGACAGCUCCAGCGACGAGCAGAUCCUGCUCUAUCCAUACCGCGUAUUCGACCGGUACUUUCGUGAGAAGGACGGCAGGGGCGCCGAGAAGGGCAAGGGCAGCCGUGGAUGAACUCCACCAUAGCCAAACAUGCUAAAUUUUGGUAGUCUGAUGGCAUCUUUAGUGUAGUGUGAUGGAGCAGUCGGACGAUGCGGGUGCAUCGACGUACUUGCAUGAGUUUGUAUCGAUUUAAGAUAUGAUAAUAGAGAUGUUCAGAUGUGGAUUACAUUAUUUGAGGGGUGCCCGGUCAGUGCCCGCGGACGCGUCCGAGCGCGUCCGCGGGCGUUUGAGGGCUGGAUUUGCCAAGUCCGGCUGUAAUGCUCUGACAGUAUCAGGAGGAGACUUCACCAAGGCCCAAGGCCAAAUCAA